GACGGAGGAUGCAAGCGUUAUCCGGAAUUAUUGGGCGUAAAGCGUACGUAGGCGGCUUAUCAAGUCUGGGGUCAAAGACCACAGCUUAACUGUGGAAAGGCCUUGGAAACUGGGGAGCUGGAGUGAGGUAGGGGCUGCGGGAAUUCCCGGUGUAGCGGUGAAAUGCGUAGAUAUCGGGAAGAACACCUGAGGCGAAAGCGCGCGACUGGGCCUUAACUGACGCGGAGGUACGAAAGCUAGGGGAGCGAAUGGG
rnacentral:rRNA from 1 species